rnacentral:rRNA from 1 species
CACGUAGGGCGCGAGCGUUGUCCGGAAUUAUUGGGCGUAAAGAGCUCGUAGGCGGCCUGUUGCGUCCGCUGUGAAAGCCCGGGGCUUAACCCCGGGUCUGCAGUGGAUACGGGCAGGCUAGAGGUAGGUAGGGGAGAAUGGAAUUCCCGGUGUAGCGGUGAAAUGCGCAGAUAUCGGGAGGAACACCAGAGGCGAAGGCGGCGAACUGGACAGUAACUGACACUCAACUGCGAAAGCGUGGGGAGCAAACAGG